CCAGCCCCAGCCUCGCCAAUCCAGCUGCCCCAGGCUGGAGGAGAUCCUGUCAAGCCUCCUCUCUGAAACUCCACUCCUCCUCUUUUUUUUCUUCCUCAACCACUGGCAUACUUUUGGUCAUCCUACUUUUCAUCCCAAUGGGGCACCUGAUACCAUAAAGACCUGGGAACCCCACUGAUCACAGGUCCUACAGGGGUCAGGCAAACAUACAGGAAGUCCAGAAGGACAGUCAUCUGCCACCUCCAGUAUGAGAAGAACAAAACCCCCGCACUCCAUGAAGAAGUCAGGAACCCAGUGAAGGCUGCAGGUCCAGCCCACAACAACCUAUGUAUGUGGGGUGCUCCAUGGCUCAUACGUGUGUCCUGCAGGCUGGAGCCCAAGCGAGGGUUCGCAGUCUUUGUUCCAGAUGGGGAACUACUACUUCAGCUUAUUACCCAGGCUCCCUGAUGGGGAAAGGAAGGAAAUGGCGAGAAUCUUCAGCACAGCAAAUCCCAUCGUCCUGGCAGAGACAACUCCUGCCUGCAUGCCACACCAGCAGCCGCAGGCUAGAGGCAGUCACAUCAGGCCUCCCUCUUACAACAUUUUGUUUUGUUUUGUUUUUCGAAAGGCCCUAAUCACCUACUUUCGGUCAUCCUCCUUGUCACAAUAGGGCACCUGACGCCAUAGAGACUCGAGAAAUGUACAGAUCUGGGGUCCUGAAGCGUCCAGGCGAAGGUGCUGGGAGUCAGGGAGGAAAGUCCUUUGAAGCCUCCAGAAGCAAUGUAACAAGACCCAGCACUGCAGGAAGAAGUGGGGCACCCAGUGGCAAAUGCAGGCCUACGUGCAAGGUGCUCCCUGUCCCUCGCCUGCUCCCUGGAACCUGGAGCCGCACCUAGGAUGGGGGGUCUCCAUUCCAGACCCAGAAUAAGCUCUUGGCUACCUCACCCAGCACCUGGUCAUGCCAGACAGAAUCUUGGCUGGGGCUUUCUCAUGGUCUGCAGUGCCUUCCACUUUGGGCCACCGUAAUAACACUUCUCCCACAGGGACUCUGCAGUGUCCGGCUCACCAGCCUGGAGUUUCUCAUCACCCAGUGAUUCCAAAAGAAACAAUCUACAAUGGCAUGACCAAGUGCCAGAAACAAACAAACAAAAUAUCUGAGGAGCUGUCAGAAUCCUGCCCUUCCGUCUCCAGAUCAAAGUCCUUCAGGAAAUGCAACUACUUCAGUGACAAGAGAUAAUUAUCAUCUUCUGACAGAGGAGGAAUUUGGGGUUUGGUCCCAGUCCAUGAAGUGGCACAGUCAGAAUAAAAGGUGAGAGCUUAGGAGAUUAGCGGAGGGUAGAAGAACACUCUGUCUUGUGACCAGCUUCAGAGAGCCUGGGGCCAUGGCUUCCUGGUCAACAUUAGGCCCUGCUGCAUGGUGACCCCUGGGCAGGCAGUGGGAAGCCUGAGGUGUGGCUCCUGGUGGCCUCACAACUGCCACUCUUUCCUGAAGCUCCUAUUUGUUCUGUCAGCUAAGCCCCCAUCCCAGUAGGCCAGCAACACACUCAAGACCAAGAACAGGCCAUGGUGAAUCUCAGGGCCACUGAGUGCCUGGGCUGGCAGGGGCAGAGUUCCUCAGGGCUCAGUGACAUUUGGACUGAGCAUGGGCUUUGGAGUCAUACAGCUACACUGAGCUCCCAGCUUCACCGUGAUCAGCCCUGUGUCUGGGACAGGGGCCUCACUGUUCUGGAACUUGAGACGCCAUAGUCAUAAAUUUAACACACACUUCUAACUGCUUUUUCUUUUUUAUCUGUCUUUCUCUAUAAUCACCAUGUACUACUGGUCUCUUGUGUUUAUUUAAAUUAAUAAACAUGUUACACAGUGUGUAUUAUUCUUCCUCAUGAGUUCUUUACUAUAUUCUAUGAUUCCACCCAUAUGAGGUACUUAUGUAAUUUCAUUCAUAGAAACUCAAAGUAGAAAAGCAGUUAGUUCUUAGAGGACAAAAGGAAGGUAAAG
rnacentral:lncRNA from 1 species